UGACUCGGUGAUGUUUUUUCUUUUAAUUCCACAACUUCAGUAAAGCAGCAACUACACCAUCUAAAAAAAAACAACGGUUUGACUCGUAAUUUGUGUCUUCGCUCAUACGUUUUUGUACAACUUUUGGCUUUCAUACGUUUUUCUUGCUUUCCCAUGGCGUCCGCACAUCCGAUUCAGGAGAUGCGCAACGGCGGCGCUGCCGACCACCGCGAAGAUGGCGCGACUGAGGUUACCCAUGCAGAGUAUGAGCACCCCACAGCGACGAAGUGGUUCAAUGCUGCGCCUUGCUUGCGCUAUAUCCCACUGUUCGGCGAGGUCACUGCCGCCUUUGGACCCAAGUUCUCCCUCUCUCUCGGUCUGUGCUACACGCUGUCGAAGGGUGCAGCCAGCCGAAUUAUCAACGUCUCUCGCCAGCCGAUGUUCAUUGUCCACUACGGACUGAACGUUGCACGGUAUCAGCGCCUUGCCACCAUGUACAGUCUCGGGUGGUCGCUGAAGCCAUUCAUCGCCUCGAUUGCCGACGUGAUCGCGCUCUUUGGCUACACGAAGCGGUGGUACAUGGCGCUCUCGGCAGUGCUGGGCACAGCGGCCGCUCUGGCGUAUGCACUGCUGCCUGCGAAGGAGUCGUCGGCGAACGCCGCUGCGGCGUUUGUGUUUCUCACCUGCUUUGGCAAAUCCAACAUCGACAUUCUGUCCCAGGGCCACUUUAGUCGGUCGAUGCGCGAAAACCCUGAGGCGGGCCCAUCGGUGGUGAGCUGGGUGUGGGCCAUGACGUUUGUCGGCACCAUCCUCGCGUCCUGCAUGAUGGGACCCUUGUCAGAUGCCAAGCUGACGUACGUUGGCAUCAUCUUGUCGGCUGCGCUGCAGCUCGCGACAAUCUUCUUCUUCGUUUUCAACAUGUACGGUGAAAAGAAGAACCGCACGAACCGCCGCAAGGACGCCCUCAUGCAGUUUUGGGAGCUGAAGCGCUUGGAGAAGCAGCAGGCCGCCAAGGCUGUCGAUGGUCACGUGGUAGAGUCCAUCGUGGACUCUGGUGACGUGAAGGGGCUCGCAGUGGCCGAGGUCGCCGGUGAUUCGCGAGAGGAUGAUGACGCAGAUUUCGUGGAGCCAGAUAUUGGUUCGUGUCUCGGCGGCGCAGUGGAGGUGAACGUCGACGUUGCAGUGCGGAACUGGCGGCUCAUCGUGUACGCGCUGAUUAUGACGUGCGGCAUUACCACCCAGGCCUGUGUUAUGGUGCUCGGCACCCGGCGCCAUCUCCUGUACGCUUGCAUUGGUAUCGCCACCGUGUUCAUGGCUGGCGCCUUUCUCUCGCUGCCGUUGAUCGUCGCCAAGGCAGCCGUUUUUAUCUACCUCAACUCUCUCCUGUACUUACAGAUCCCUGGCGCGCUCUCCAACUUCUACCUCGCGAAGCCCAAGUGCCUGCCGGACGGCCCGCACUUUUCGUACACGUUUUACCAGACUGUCGGCGCCCUCAUCACGGACGCCGGUGGUGUGACCGGUGCCGUUCUCUUCACCCGCUUCUUCUCGAAGCACAGGUACGCCUUUGUCUUUAUCGCGACGACACUGCUGCAGGCACUGGGCUCGGUCUUUGAUCUGAUCAUCGUCAAGCGGUGGAACGUGCACAUUGGCAUUCCGGAUCACGCCAUGUAUAUUCUGGGUGACGCGAUUGUGUACGAAAUCUGCUUUGUGAUGUCGCUGAUGCCGGGGCAGAUCCUCAUGUCCCGCCUGUGCCCGCGCGGCACGGAAACGAUUGCAUUCGCUCUCUUGGCUGGCUUCAACAGCGCCGGCAAUUCGAUGUCCCUCGCCGUGGGCUCUCUUCUAAUGGAGAACUUCUGGCCUGUCUCUGCAAAGCCGCCGUGCAACUUCAAGAACGUGCCAUACUUGAUCAUAGCGGGCCACUUGUGCACGCCGCUGCUGGUCAUCCCACUCGCGUUCCUGCUGCUGCCGAAGGCACGCAUCUGCGACCGCAUUGACAUUGACGGCAACGUCAUCGCAGAGGACGCCAAGACCGUUCAGGAGCGGCGCUGCCCUGUUGUCAAACCACACGCCGCCUUCGAAGGUGAAGGGCAAGGACCAGAGACCAAGCAGGGGGACUCACGGGAGCCAAAGGCCUGAGGAGGAAUGUCGCGCAGUUCCGCGGCUGCACCUCCCAGGGUGCUGAGCCGGAGCAGACACGUCGUGUUUUUUUUUUCGUUUUCCAACAUCGAGAAGGAAUGCUCUUUGGCGUGUGGGUGGUGGUGGAGUCGACUGCGUGCUUGCGUGUGUGUGUGUACAGCGACGCUGCACAAUCCUACCCCCGUUGCGUCAUUGACGCGUUGUUUUCUGAUACUUUAAGGAUUGUUUCGAAUUUUUUAAAAGUGAUUUCCUGAUUGAGAAUGCAUCCAGCCUAGCAAACCCGAAGUCGUCGUCGUCUUCCAGUUCGCUUUUGUCUUGAAAUUUAACUCCGGAUUUCUCUCGCGUUUUCUUUUACCCGAAGUGUGAUGCGUAUACGCUGACCAAAGAAAACGGUGGAGUCAAGGCCGCUUCUAUUUUUUUUUUACGUGCUCGUUCUGUUGUCUACCACCCUUCCUCCGUAAACCGCACGGUCUGCCAAAUAACCACUCGCCAUGAUAUGGUUGUCUCUGUUGUUCAUCGAAGUUCUCUCCACAUCCGCGUGCAACACGGUGUUCACCUGACAAG
rnacentral:misc_RNA from 1 species